rnacentral:rRNA from 1 species
ACUGCUCAGUAACACGUGGACAACCUGCCCUUAGGUUGGGUAUAAACCCGGGAAACUGGGUAUAAUACCCGAUAGGUCUCGAUUGCUGGAAUGCAUCGAGAUUUAAAGCUCCGGCGCCUAAGGAUGGGUCUGCGGCCUAUCAGGUAGUAGUGGGUGUAGCGUACCUACUAGCCUACGACGGGUACGGGUUGUGAGAGCAAGAGCCCGGAGAUGGAUUCUGAGACACGAAUCCAGGCCCUACGGGGUGCAGCAGGCGCGAAGACUUUACAAUGCUGGCAACAGCGAUAAGGGAACCUCGAGUGCCAGGUUACAAAUCUGGCUGUCGAGAUGCCUAAAAAGCAUUUCAUAGCAAGGGCCGGGCAAGACCGGUGCCAGCCGCCGCGGUAACACCGGCGGCUCGAGUGGUAACCGUUAUUAUUGGGUCUAAAGGGUCUGUAGCCGGCCGGAUAAGUCUCUUGAGAAAUCUGGCAGCUUAACUGUCAGGCUUUCAGGAGAUACUGUCUGGCUCGAGGCCGGGAGAGGUGAGAGGUACUUCAGGGGUAGGGGUGAAAUCUUGUAAUCCUUGAAGGACCACCAGUGGCGAAGGCGUCUCACCAGAACGGACCUGACGGCAAGGGACGAAAGCUAGGGGCACGAACCGGAUUAGAUACCCGGGUAGUCCUAGCCGUAAACGAUACUCGCUAAGUGUCGGCCACGGUGCGACCGUUGUCGGUGCCGUAGGGAAGCCGUGAAGCGAGCCACCUGGGAAGUACGGCCGCAAGGCUGAAACUUAAAGGAAUUGGCGGGGGAGCAC